GGGUUCAGGAAAACAAUAACGGGACGGUUGGGUUCAGGAAAACAAUAACGGGAGGGAAAACAAUAACAGGAUGGUUUGGUUUAGGAAAACAAUAACGGAACGAUUGGGUUUAGUUAAAGCAGAAAGCGACGGUUGGGUUUAGG